GGGGAGGAAGAGGGAGGCUGAGAUGGAGUCUUCAAGAAGAAAGAGAAAGAAAAGCACACAGGUGAGACGCUGGGCUGUCAGUCUACGCUGAUGAGCCUGUUCUCAGGUGGUUUCACUCAGUGCCUCCUGCCAGGCUGCACUUUGAAUCUUAACUUCUGGAAAACACAUGUACACAUACAGAAAAUAUGCAUUUAAGAAAAAGAGCUGCACUGUUACCUCAAUGUAAAAUGCUGUGCACUUGAACACGUGUGAUUACAUGUGGGCACUGGUUCAUGAUAAGGAAAGAUUCUGUCUGAUUUAUUGCCCAGACACAUUCACUCUCUCUCUCCUCGUAAGGGACUCAGUACCCAGAUGUUCCGGCCGGGUCCAGGAGCACGGACGGCCCACUCCAUUCCCAGCACCACUCUGCAGACUGAAAAUAGAGUCGCCCUGGAGAAUGACAGUGACAGGCCGUUGAUGCUGGCGCCUCUUCGAUGCAGCCAACGGGGCCCAGCCUCGGCUCCUUCUCCACCAAUCACCGAGCCUCCAGCUGACCUGCAAACACACACCCCCAGCACACCUCUGCACACACAAACACACAAAUGCAGAAACGCACAAACACACAAAUGCACAAGCAAACGCAGAAACACAAACACACAAACACACAAACGCACAAAUGCAGAAACACACAAACACGGACUGGGCCAUAACACCAGACGCAUCAUGGUUAUUAACAUUUUGGUGAAUUCUUUAUUUCUUUUGCCUACAUUUACCAAUGAUCCAGCCUUUGUAGUUUAAAAAUGACUGAACUGUUUUAGAAUUGAAUGGAAAACCUUUAUCUGUACUGUGAUUGAGAAAUUGAUAUGUUGCAACAGCACAAAAAAGACAGAUAAUACAGAAGAUAAUAAAUACACAAUUGUUGAAAGAAAGAGAGAAACA
rnacentral:lncRNA from 1 species